AUUGAACGCUGGCGGCAUGCUUUACACAUGCAAGUCGAACGGUAACGGGCCGCAAGGUGCUGACGAGUGGCGAACGGGUGAGUAAUGCAUCGGAACGUGCCCAGUCGUGGGGGAUAACUACUCGAAAGAGUAGCUAAUACCGCAUACGACCUAUGGAUGAAAGCGGGGGACCGUAAGGCCUCGCGCGAUUGGAGCGGCCGAUGUCAGAUUAGGUAGUUGGUGGGGUAAAGGCUCACCAAGCCAACGAUCUGUAGCUGGUCUGAGAGGACGACCAGCCACACUGGGACUGAGACACGGCCCAGACUCCUACGGGAGGCAGCAGUGGGGAAUUUUGGACAAAGGGCGCAAGCCUGAUCCAGCAAUGCUGCGUGCAGGAAGAAGGCCUUCGGGUUGUAAACUGCUUUUGUACGGAACGAAACGGCUCUGGUUAAUACCCGGGGCUAAUGACGGUACCGUAAGAAUAAGCACCGGCUAACUACGUG
rnacentral:rRNA from 1 species